UUAACUCAAAUUUCUAUGGGGUUGGAACAUUUGCCUACGUUUGUCGCUAGGGGCGCUGUUCCAAAGGCAUACAAUAUUUCUUGAA
rnacentral:pre_miRNA from 1 species